rnacentral:miRNA from 10 species
CAGCAGCGAGCAGAGAGGCGCUCAGCAGAGCGGUAGCCGGUCCUUGGUGUCGCUGCUCGGUGAUUAUGUUGUGCCUCCUUCUGG